GAUGAACGCUGGCGGCGUGCCUAAUACAUGCAAGUCGAGCGAACAGACGAGGAGCUUGCUCCUCUGACGUUAGCGGCGGACGGGUGAGUAACACGUGGAUAACCUACCUAUAAGACUGGGAUAACUUCGGGAAACCGGAGCUAAUACCGGAUAAUAUAUUGAACCGCAUGGUUCAUUAGUGAAAGACGGUUUUGCUGUCACUUAUAGAUGGAUCCGCGCCGCAUUAGCUAGCUGGUAAGGUAACGGCUUACCAAGGCGACGAUGCGUAGCCGACCUGAGAGGGUGAUCGGCCACACUGGAACUGAGACACGGUCCAGACUCCUACGGGAGGCAGCAGUAGGGAAUCUUCCGCAAUGGGCGAAAGCCUGACGGAGCAACGCCGCGUGAGUGAUGAAGGUCUUCGGAUCGUAAAACUCUGUUAUUAGGGAGGAACAAAUGUGUAAGUAACUAUGCACGUCUUGACGGUACCUAAUCAGAAAGCCACGGCUAACUACGUG
rnacentral:rRNA from 1 species